GAUGAACGUUGGCGGUGUGCCUAAUACAUGCAAGUCGAACGGAGUUAAUAGCAAUAUUGGCUCAGUGGCGAACGGGUGAGUAACGCGUUGGUGAUCUGCCUUGAAGUGUGGAAUAACGUUUCGAAAGGAACGCUAAUACCGCAUGUGCUCUCGAUUUUCAGAAAGUUGAGAGUAAAGGAUUUAUUCGCUUCAAGAGGAGCCUGCGUCCCAUCAGCUGGUUGGUAGGGUAACGGCCUACCAAGGCUAUGACGGGUAGGGGACCUGAGAGGGUCGGCCCCCCACAAUGGAACUGAAACACGGUCCAUACACCUACGGGUGGCAGCAGUAGGGAAUAUUAGAAAUGGACGAAAGUCUGAUCUAGCAACACCGCGUGUGCGAAGAAGGCCUUCGGGUCGUAAAGCACUUUUUGGAAGGAAUAGGAAGGAAUGUACUUCCAGAAUAAGUCUCGGCUAACUACGUG
rnacentral:rRNA from 1 species